CAAGUACGGGGGGUGCAAUACCAACCGGCGAACGGGUGCGUAACACGUGAGCAACCUUCCGAAUUGUGGGGGAUAGCUGCCCUAACGGGCAGGUAAUACCGCAUACGCUCAUCGAGUCUCCUGGCUUGAUGAGGAAACCUCCGGGGCAAAUCGAGGGGCUCGCGGCCUAUCAGCUAGUUGGCGAGGUAACGGCUCACCAAGGCGACGACGGGUAGCUGGUCUGAGAGGAUGGCCAGCCACAUUGGGACUGAGAAACGGCCCAGACUCCUACGGGAGGCAGCAGUGGGGAAUCUUGCGCAAUGGGCGAAAGCCUGACGCAGCGACGCCGCGUGGGGGAUGAAGGUUUUCGGAUCGUAAACCCCUGUUGCCCGGGACGAACUUCCUCUUUCGAGAGGAUUGACGGUACCGGGUGAGGAAGCACCGGCUAACUCUGUGCCAGCAGCCGCGGUAAUACAGAGGGUGCGAGCGUUGUCCGGAAUCACUGGGCGUAAAGGGCGCGUAGGUGGCGCUCCAAGUCUGUGGUGAAAGCUCGACGCUCAACGUCGAGUCGGCCAUAGAGACUGGAGGGCUCGAGCACUGUAGGGGCAGAUGGAAUUCCGGGUGUAGCGGUGGAAUGCGUAGAGAUCCGGAAGAACACCGGUGGCGAAGGCGGUCUGCUGGGCAGUUGCUGACACUGAGGCGCGACAGCGUGGGGAGCAAACAGGAUUAGAUACCCUGGUAGUCCACGCCGUAAACGAUGGGCACUAGAUGCUUGGGGGAGCGACCCCCUGAGUGUCGUCGCUAACGCAGUAAGUGCCCCGCCUGGGGAGUACGGCCGCAA
rnacentral:rRNA from 1 species